GAUUUGGAAAAAAGAAUAAAAUGGCCCCUGCACAAAGAUGACAUGCAAAUUUUUGAAGUGCUCCAUAUCUUU
rnacentral:snRNA from 7 species